rnacentral:rRNA from 1 species
UACGAAGGGUCCAAGCGUUGUUCGGAAUCAUUGGGCGUAAAGCGCGCGCAGGCGGAUCAGUAAGUCAGAUGUGAAAUCUCAGGGCUCAACCCUGAAACUGCGUCUGAAACUACUAGUCUAGAGUGUCGGAGGGGGUAGGGGAAUUUCACGUGUAGGGGUAAAAUCCGUAGAGAUGUGAAGGAACACCGGAGGCGAAGGCGCCUGCCUGGACGACUACUGACGCUGAGGCGCGAAAGCCGUGGGGAGCAAACAGG